GACGAACGCUGGCGGCGUGCCUAAUACAUGCAAGUCGAGCGAGGCGGCGGAUGGGUGAGUAACGCGUGGGUAACCUGUCCUAAAGUCUGGGAUACCGUUUUGCAGCAGAUGCUAAUACCGGCUAUGAAUGGAUGGCCCUGCUAUGCCUUAGCUAGUUGGUAAGGUAACGGCUUACCAAGGCGAUGAUGCAUAGCCGAGUUGAGAGACUGAUCGGCCACAUUGGGACUGAGACACGGCCCAAACUCCUACGGGAGGCAGCAGUAGUGAAUCUUACACAAUGGACGAAAGUCUGAUGGAGCAACGCCGCGUGAGUGAAGAAUGUUUUCGGAUCGUAAAGCUCUGUUGUUGGUGAAGCGGUAAUCAACCAGAAAGUCACGGCUAACUACGUGCCAGCAGCCGCGGUAAUAC
rnacentral:rRNA from 1 species